rnacentral:rRNA from 1 species
AUGAACGCUGGCGGCGUGCCUAAUACAUGCAAGUCGAGCGAACAGAUGAGGAGCUUGCUCCUCUGACGUUAGCGGCGGACGGGUGAGUAACACGUGGAUAACCUACCUAUAAGACUGGGAUAACUUCGGGAAACCGGAGCUAAUACCGGAUAAUAUAUUGAACCGCAUGGUUCAAUAGUGAAAGACGGUUUUGCUGUCACUUAUAGAUGGAUCCGCGCCGCAUUAGCUAGUUGGUAAGGUAACGGCUUACCAAGGCAACGAUGCGUAGCCGACCUGAGAGGGUGAUCGGCCACACUGGAACUGAGACACGGUCCAGACUCCUACGGUAGGCAGCAGUAGGGAAUCUUCCGCAAUGGGCGAAAGCCUGACGGAGCAACGCCGCGUGAGUGAUGAAGGUCUUCGGAUCGUAAAACUCUGUUAUUAGGGAAGAACAAAUGUGUAAGUAACUAUGCACGUCUUGACGGUACCUAAUCAGAAAGCCACGGCUAACUACGUG